rnacentral:rRNA from 1 species
GACGAACGCUGGCGGCGUGCCUAAUACAUGCAAGUAGGACGCAGUUGCGAACGGGUGAGUAACGCGUAGGUAACUACCUAUUAGAGGGGGAUCACUAUUGGAAACGAUAGCUAAUACCGCAUACUAGUAGAUGGACCUGCGUUGUAUUAGCUAGUAGGUAGGGUAAUGGCCUACCAAGGCAACGAUACAUAGCCGACCUGAGAGGGGAAGCGGCCACAUUGGGACUGAGACACGGCCCAACCUCCUACGGGAGGCAGCAGUAGGGAAUCUUCCGCAAUGGGCGAAAGCCUGACGGAGCAACGCCGCGUGAGUGAAGAAGGCUUUCGGAUCGUAAAGCUCUGUUGUAAGAGAAGCGGUAUCUUACCAGAAAGCCACGGCUAACUACGUGCCAGCAGCCGCGGUAAUAC